rfam:Mucilaginibacter sp. PAMC 26640, complete genome.
ACGGAGCAAGCCGAAAAUCCGAUCAAAGAGUAGGCG